rnacentral:lncRNA from 1 species
UUCACUCUAUUGGAUAAGUAUGUUUAGAUUCCUUUAAACAGUGUCAAUUGCUUCUUAAGGCUCAUUCUUUUCAUAUUGAGUUGCUACUUUGUUAUCAGAAAAACCAUAUUUCUUUUUUAUUCCGCAAUAACAUAGUACUGCACCUAGUGCUAAAUAUGUAACACAGCCAAUUACGAUCCCAAUAAUAUCUCCACAUUUCAAACCUCC